GCCGGGAGCCGUUCUGCCGCCGCGCCAGCAGCUCCUGCAGCGAGGGGAAGCCGUCGGCGUCCCCCCCGCCGCCCAGCUGCUGCGCGUGCAGGAGGCAGAGCGCGUCCGGCACGGCGCCGUGCGCCAGCACCUCCAGGCGCGGCAGGGCCAGCAGCAGGAAGGCCAGCGCCGCCACCAUGCCGCCGUCCCCCGCCGGCUCGAGGCUGCGGGCCAGGAGGACGCGGAGCGCGGGGCAGCAGAGGGCUCGCUCCAGCGGGUCGUAGGCCAGGUGCCGCAGGGCGCGGGGUGACACCUUCUUGCAGUGGGACACGUCCAGCUCCCGCAGGCGCCGGCAGCAGGAGCCCACGGCCGAGAGCACCUGGACGUUGGCCUGCGUCUCCGCCAGCCCCAGGCGGCUCAGCAGCGGCAGCUCCUCCACCAGGUCCACCAGCACGUCCGCCGACAGCCGGCUGCAGCCGUGCAGGUCCAGGGCGCUCAGGCUCUGCCGCCGACACACGGAGCCUCCUCAGCAGGGCGCGGGGCUCGGGGGGACCCCACACCCUGCUCCCUAUUACCGGGCAGCCACCCCGGCUGCCUCACGGGGGCUGUGGCUCCCAGCCUGUACCCCCAGUGGGGUGGGUGGUCUCACACCCAGCCUCAGCCCCACGGCAUCGGCUGUGGGAGAUGUGGGGCAGGGAGCCAGGCAGGGCCGGGAUGGAGGGACCCAGAGACCCUCACCCCAGACGCCAGCCAAGGACCGGAGCACCCCGGCUGCCAGCCCCUGUGCUGAGCCCCAGCCCCCAUCCCCACGGGUCAGCCCCAGCCCCCCGAUGGGUGAUUACCCCCGUCCCCGCCGCCCACCUUGCAGCGCACGGUGACGAGCUGGCCGAUGGCGUUGCUGACGAGGCUGGGGCAGGGGCGCAGGCUGAGCUCCUGGAGGUGCGGCACCAGCAGCAGGUGGAGCGCGGCUCGCGUCAGGCGGCGGCUCUCGCCCAGCAGCCGGAUGAGAUCCUGCACCAGGCUGCCGGCUGCAGGUGGGGGGACAUCAGGGGGGGGUCAGCAAGCGGUGCCAGGGUCCCGCUCGCCCUCCUGCCCCCUCGCCCCCCGGCUCACCCAGGUCGUUGA
rnacentral:lncRNA from 1 species